rnacentral:rRNA from 1 species
GACGAACGCUGGCGGCGUGCCUAAUACAUGCAAGUCGAGCGGACCGAACAGGAGCUUGCUCUUGUUCGGUUAGCGGCGGACGGGUGAGUAACACGUGGGUAACCUGCCCGUAAGACCGGGAUAACUCCGGGAAACCGGAGCUAAUACCGGAUAACACCGAAGACCGCAUGGUCUUUGGUUGAAAGGCGGCUUCGGCUGCCACUUACGGAUGGGCCCGCGGCGCAUUAGCUAGUUGGUGAGGUAACGGCUCACCAAGGCGACGAUGCGUAGCCGGCCUGAGGGGGUGACCGGCCACACUGGGACUGAGACACGGCCCAGACUCCUACGGGAGGCAGCAGUAGGGAAUCUUCCGCAAUAGACGAAAGUCUGACGGAGCGACGCCGCGUGAGCGAAGAAGGUCUUCGGAUCGUAAAGCUCUGUUGUUAGGGAAGAAGAAGCGUCGUUCGAACAGGGCGGCGCGGUGACGGUACCUAACGAGAAAGCCCCGGCUAACUACGUG